AGAAAAGUCCAUAUGAUCUGGGAACCAGUUGUCACAAUAGACAACAGAGAUGUCUUCAUUCCAGUGAAGUCGAUUCAUCAGUGCAGCCAUUCAGGAACUUCUGAUGGAAAGAUGCCCUUGAGAUCAGAUUCUGCAGAAGAGGGAGAUACCUAACCCUGAACUUCAUAUUCUCAAACUUUGUCUAACAGAGUGAAGUCAGAAAAAUCACAGUGAUGGAAACGAGCAAGACGGCACUUGGAAUGAGCAUUAUCUCUCAAACAUAAAAGGAACAAGGGAUAGACAUCAAAGGCUAAGAAAACUGGAAUUUACAAAUUUGGCAAAACAGAUGACUUUUCUAAUUACUUUCCUCGAGAUUCAACUUUUCGUUGUGUCAAAACAGAUUUUUCUCUUAUUGUAAUGGACUUUUACUAUUUAAAUUGUCAUCAUGUGAGGAACUGGAGGACUUCUGGGCCAGUUCUGAGUGAAACUGAUUAAAAACAUUUCAGAAUAUGGUUGUGCAAAUUUUGCCAAUUUCUUUUUGUAUAUAACUCAUAGAAGAUAUCUCAAUAAAACACCACG